rnacentral:rRNA from 1 species
GAUGAACGCUAGCGGCAGGCCUAACACAUGCAAGUCGAGGGGUAACGGGGAGCUUGCUUCGCCGACGACCGGCGCACGGGUGCGCACCGCGUAUGGAACCUACCUUGUACAGGGGAAUAGCCUUUGGAAACGAAGAUUAAUGCCCCGUGGCACCACGCCCCGGCAUCGGGAUGUGGUUAAAGCCUUCGGGCGGUACAAGAUGGCCAUGCGUCCCAUUAGCUUGUUGGUAAGGUAACGGCUUACCAAGGCUACGAUGGGUAGGGGCCCUGAGAGGGGGAUCCCCCACACUGGUACUGAGACACGGACCAGACUCCUACGGGAGGCAGCAGUGAGGAAUAUUGGACGAAUGGAAGGAGACUCUGAUCCAGCCAUGCCGCGUGCAGGAAGAAUGCCCUAUGGGUAGUAAACUGCUUUUAUACAGGAAGAAAAAGAGCUACGUGUAGCUUACUGACGGUACKGUAAGAAUAAGGACCGGCUAACUCCGUGCCAGCAGCCGCGGUAAUACGGAGGGUCCGAGCGUUAUCCGGAAUUAUUGGGUUUAAAGGGUCCGUAGGCGGGCCGAUAAGUCAGGGGUGAAAGUCUGUAGCUCAACURUARAAUUGCCUUUGAUACUGUUGGUCUUGAGUUAUAGUGAAGUUGCCGGAAUAUGUAGUGUAGCGGUGAAAUGCAUAGAUAUUACAUAGAACACCGAUUGCGAAGGCAGGUGACUAACUAUAUACUGACGCUGAUGGACGAAAGCGUGGGGAGCGAACAGGAUUAGAUACCCUGGUAGUCCACGCCGUAAACGAUGGAUACUAGCUGUCCGGAACCUUGAGUUCUGGGCGGCCAAGCGAAAGUGAUAAGUAUCCCACCUGGGGAGUACGUUCGCAAGAAUGAAACUCAAAGGAAUUGACGGGGGCCCGCACAAGCGGUGGAGCAUGUGGUUUAAUUCGAUGAUACGCGAGGAACCUUACCAGGGCUUAAAUGCAUAUUGACAGGUCUAGAGAUAGAUUUUCCUUCGGGCAAUUUGCAAGGUGCUGCAUGGUUGUCGUCAGCUCGUGCCGUGAGGUGUCAGGUUAAGUCCUAUAACGAGCGCAACCCCUACCGUUAGUUGCCAGCAUGUCAUGAUGGGGACUCUAACGGGACUGCCGGUGCAAACCGUGAGGAAGGUGGGGAUGACGUCAAAUCAUCACGGCCCUUACGUCCUGGGCCACACACGUGCUACAAUGGCAGGUACAGAGAGCAGCCAUGUCGCAAGGCAGAGCGAAUCUAUAAAACCUGUCACAGUUCGGAUCGGGGUCUGCAACUCGACCCCGUGAAGCUGGAAUCGCUAGUAAUCGGAUAUCAGCCAUGAUCCGGUGAAUACGUUCCCGGGCCUUGUACACACCGCCCGUCAAGCCAUGGAAGCCGGGAGUGCCUGAAGUCCGUCACCGUAAGGAGCGGCCUAGGGCAAGAUCGGUAACUAGGGCUAAGUCGUA